rnacentral:rRNA from 1 species
GAUGAACGCUGGCGGCGUGCCUAAUACAUGCAAGUCGAGCGAACGGACGAGAAGCUUGCUUCUCUGAUGUUAGCGGCGGACGGGUGAGUAACACGUGGAUAACCUACCUAUAAGACUGGGAUAACUUCGGGAAACCUGAUCUAAUACCGGAUGAUAUUUUGAACCGCAUGGUUCAAAAGUGAAAGACGGUCUUGCUGUCACUUAUAGAUGGAUCCGCGCUGCAUUAGCUAGUUGGUAAGGUAACGGCUUACCAAGGCAACGAUGCAUAGCCGACCUGAGAGGGUGAUCGGCCACACUGGAACUGAGACACGGUCCAGACUCCUACGGGAGGCAGCAGUAGGGAAUAUUCCGCAAUGGGCGAAAGCCUGACGGAGCAACGCCGCGUGAGUGAUGAAGGUCUUCGGAUCGUAAAACUCUGUUAUUAGGGAAGAACAUAUGUGUAAGUAACUGUGCACAUCUUGACGGUACCUAAUCAGAAAGCCACGGCUAACUACGUG